GCACUAAAUGUCUUACAUAACAACUAGGCAGCAUUAGAGUUGCUGAUAUGGUGUCUGCAUGAUGAUGAGGAUGCUCAGGUUCAAUCACAACUCUGGUAGCGUUCUAAGGGUCUCAGGUUCAAUCCCAACUCUGGUAGCGUUCUAAGGGUCUCCUCCAAACACCUUACAAUUUCCAUGCAAUCAAGCUAAAAUAAAUAAGGUUUAACCCUUUGCAUGCUGGGAAAUUUGUCGUCUGCUAAAAUGUCGUCUGCUGAAUUUGUAAAAUAAGCAUUUUCUUCAUUUUUUUUCAAAGAAUACUAUCAGAAUA